CACCUACGGGAGGCAGCAGUGGGGAAUAUUGGACAAUGGGGGAAAGCCUGACGGAGCAACGCCGCGUGAUCGAAUGAAGGCCUUCGGGUUGUAAAGAUCUGUUGACAGGGACGAAUAAGCCAUGCGAAUAGUUUGGUGUAUGACGGUACCUGUUUAGAAAGCUCCGGCUAACUACGUGCCAGCAGCCGCGGUAAUACGUAGGGAGCAAGCGUUGUCCGGAAUUACUGGGCGUAAAGGGCGCGUAGGUGGGUGCUUAAGUCAGGUGUGAAAACUCUGGGCUCAACCUGGAGACUGCACUUGAAACU
rnacentral:rRNA from 1 species